rnacentral:lncRNA from 1 species
CCUUUGCCACAGUCAACCGAAAGUACGCAUUGACCGGACCUUCGAGAGCCGCCGGACCGACGUCGCCGGCACCACCACCCUUCAUCAUCACCGGCCAGGAAUCGGUCACUCGCGAAGCACGACAUGCACAGGGAAACGUUGAAACAAGAUCAUACAAAGCGAAGGGGUAACGGCGAGGGUCCAUCGAAACUCACUUAACAAGCAACGACGGCUGAAAACAAAGAGCAGCCGCGCGAGUCUCACUCGGGCAUUGA